AAGCUUUGAACCAACUGGGUCAAACUCAUGCGAUUCAAUUUCAAUGCCCAUGGCUAUGCCCGCAAUGUCCUUGGAGCCAAGGGAGACAAGUUGGUUUCCUUUGUCUGAGUAAAAAUGAGCUAUGUAUUGAGUGAUUGCUCUUGAUUCUGCCAACAAAACAUUAAAAAAGUUGAGUGUUUCUGCUUUCUUUAAUUGCAAUUGUCAAAAACAGAAUUUGAGAUUAGGUCUAAAUUUAAGUGUUUUGCUGCUUACCGAAAAGCUUGAAGUCUCCAUCUUCAAAGGCUGGAACUUUACCAAAAGGCUGCAAAACAACAUUCAAGAUUUUUCAGACUAAAGGUUCAGUAUCUAAAUGAAACAAUAUUUUGUUUUGACAAAUAUUACUCACGUUGCGGAAGAUGAAAGGCUCUUUCUUGUGUUCACCAUCUUUGAGCUCGAUAUGAACGAAUUCAAAGUCGAGAUUCUUCUCGUGAAGAGCGAUGAGAACUCUUCUAGUGGCUGUGGAAGCUGGGUGACCGAAAACUUUGAUUCCUGCCAUUUGUUAAGACUUUGUUCUUAAAGCAAGGUGGAGAUUUAUUGAAGUAGAGAGAUCUUUGUGGUUGAUGAAAAGAAAUACACAAAUGGGAGAGUGUAUUUAUACAACUAAAUUAGAGUAACUUAGUGAAUAAACAAAAAACAAACGGCGCCACCAAGCUUGAAUACUCUUUGUUAUUUCAUAGUCAAGCUGAGUAACGUAUGAUUCGUCGUUUCUAUUGGUUCAAGAUUUUCAUAUACUGUUCAUAUAACUUAUAAAACAAUAUAAUCGGAGAAAAUAUCAACCAUGGCUGGAUAAGACAACAAGAAUAGUCUUUUAAUGUAUACUAGUCAAAGUUGACCGACGUUGUUGAAAACAUAUGGAUCGUUGGAUGUUCAAAUUGGAUCAUUGAAUCAAGGAGAUGAGGCAAUGUGAAGUUAUUAUUAGUCAAGAAGCUAUUCUUUUUGAAUCGUUCUUCGUAAUAAAUCUAUCUAGAACCUUCUCUAGCUUCGCCUUGCUUGCAUUCACAACCUUAUAGUCCGUCUUUAGAUUUAAUGGAUUAUACCCAUGUAAGUAUUGAUGCGAGUGGAUCGAACUCAUAAGUUUCAAUAUCCAUUCACAAUGUUUGUGUUCCCAUUGUUUUGUAGCUUUCGUAAUUCACAAGUUAUGAGCCUUUUGAUCUAUGGACAGACGAGAUGUAUUCAGAUAUAGCUCGAGACUCUGAGCAAGACUAGACAUAUCAAAAUUUUCCCGAAAUCAAACUCAAAAAUGUUUAUCAGAUCAAUAGUUGCAUGAGUAAGGUCAAGAGGCUAAAAACCCUAAUAAGAUAUAACAAAUAUAAGCAACUGAUCGUUACGUAAUAAUAUACCCUCGUUAUAACAAGUUUACUAGGUCGUCGAUGACUAAUCGCUAAAUUAGUAAACAAAAAUAGUUCAAAAUAGGUCUACUUCAGUAAAGAGUUUAGAGAUUAAAAGACGAUCGUUCGAGCAGAAAAGACCAGUUAAAUGGAAACCCUAGUUAAGACUUACAUUCCGUGAAUACAAGUAAUCUACCUAGGAAAUGAGAAUCCUAAUUCCGGCGAGAAUUGAAAAGGGUCUCCGUCUCCUGGUAAUAACCAUUUCCGUCGUUUCUUCGCACUCGAGUAAACAGAGGUUUUGCGACAGCUAUGCAAUUUAUUUAUAUGCUUUCCUAAGAAAACCCUAAUUUUAUCUUAAACACGCUUCCUUUUGUUCCUCUGUUUUAUUUCGGAAACUAAUUAACUUUCAACUUUUUUGAUCUAGGAACCUUUUUUGGUGACAGUUACGCUCAAACAAAUAUGAAUAACAUUGUUGACUUUGAAGCUUGCCAUCACCACAGAAGGUUUGGAAUCGAUUAGGGAAAGGAAGAAGAUUAGUGAUUGAUGAGUAGCAGAGCGACCUAAUUUGGAAGUCAACGUUCAAGACUUAGGAGAAUGAUAGUCAACUUUGAAGAAUGAGAUCAACAUUAAUUGGUAGUUAAACUUUAAGAUAAGAAAUAUUUUAUUAUAUCAAGACUCAUUAUCGAAGAUUACAUUCAAAUCAAACACUCGGCAGCAGAAAAACAGAGUAAACACAAAAAGAAAAACAGAGUUUAUGAGAAUUGGGCAAUUAGGUCAUCGCCACUUUUAUUACAUCUUCUGAUCGAUAAAUAGUUUGAGAUUCACUUAAAGAACCUUCUGAGCAGAAGGCCUUGAAGUGAUGUCAGCAACCCAAGCACUCACAUGUGGACGCUCGUCGAAGAGUUUCUUAGUUGGAGUUCCAAGUAAGUAUUGAAUCACAGGGAUAGUGUGAAGAUCGACCAAAGUGAAGUGGUCAGAAGCCAAAUACUUGGACUCACCAAGCCUGUGUUCGUAAACAUCGAGGACUUUGGCUAGCUUAGCCUCUUCUUCUUCAACAACGGUUUUGUCUGUGGUCAUACCAUACAAAGGCUUUAAGACUUGCUCCCAAACAAGCUUUGAACCAACUGGGUCAAACUCAUGCGACUCAAUUUCAAUGCCCAUGGCUAUGAUCGCCAUGUCCUUGCCAGUUGAGAGAAGGUUGUUUCCUUUGUCUG
rnacentral:lncRNA from 1 species